GACGAACGCUGGCGGCGUGCUUAACACAUGCAAGUCGAACGAAGUGGCGAACGGGUGAGUAACGCGUAAUCAACCUGCCCUUCAGAGGGGGACAACAGUUGGAAACGACUGCUAAUACGCCAUACUGAAGGAGGGGAUGGCGUCGGAUUCGCUAGUUGGAGGGGUAACGGCCCACCAAGGCGAAGAUCAGUAGCCGGUUUGAGAGGUUGAACGGGCAAAAUGGGACUGAGACACGGCCCAGACUCCUACGGGAGGCAGCAGUGGGGAAUCUUCCGAAAUGGACGAAAGUCUGACGGAGCAACGCCGCGUGAGGGAUGACGGCCUUCGGGUUGUAAAGCUCUGUUAAUCGGGACGCGGUACCGGAAUAGAAAGCCACGGCUAACUACGUGCCAGCAGCCGCGGUAAUAC
rnacentral:rRNA from 1 species